AUACGAAAGGUGCAAGCGUUGUUCGGAUUUACUGGGCGUAAAGAGAUCGUAGGUGGUUUGUUAAGUCGGAUGUGAAAUCCCGGGGCUCAACCCCGGAACUGCAUUCGAUACUGGCAGACUAGAGUUUGGGAGGGGUAAGCGGAAUUCCGUGUGUAGCAGUGAAAUGCGUAGAUAUACGGAGGAACACCUGAGGCGAAGGCGGCCUACUGGACCAAUACUGACACUGAGGAUCGAAAGCGUGGGUAGCAAACAGGAUUAGAAACCCCAGUAGUCC
rnacentral:rRNA from 1 species